rnacentral:rRNA from 1 species
UACGUAGGGUGCAAGCGUUGUCCGGAAUUAUUGGGCGUAAAGAGCUCGUAGGCGGUCUGUUGCGUCGGCUGUGAAAACCCGGGGUUCAACCCCGGGCCUGCAGCCGAUACGGGCAGACUAGAGUUCGGCAGGGGAGACUGGAAUUCCUGGUGUAGCGGUGAAAUGCGCAGAUAUCAGGAGGAACACCGGUGGCGAAGGCGGGUCUCUGGGCCGAUACUGACGCUGAGGAGCGAAAGCGUGGGGAGCGAACAGG